rnacentral:lncRNA from 1 species
GAGGACUGGGUUGUGAUCCCAUGUCUCAUCGAUGUACUGUAUAAUGAUUAGCGAUUCUGAAAUCGGCUUGCCGUUGUGGAAGAAGACAGGGAUCUUCUUGUGAACUGGGUUGGAGUUGAGGAGAAGCUCGCUCUUGUUGGAGAGGUCAUCUUCGAUGUAUUGGAAGUUUAAGCCUUUGAGUUUGAGGACUAGUUCGAUUCUCCGGCUGUAGAGACUGGCCCAGGUUCCAAAGUAGCUUGAUUUCGUCUGCCAUUUUUUCUUGAUUUUUAUUAUCAUCUAUGGAGUACUAUGGAAGAAGCAGUAUAUAUCUGAUGUGCAGGAAGGAAUCGAAGUUUAGUGCAUUGGAGCUAAAUGGGGAAAUGUCAUGGCUGACAUCAGAGAUCUUAUGGGACCUCUGAGAUCUGGAUAUUCUACCUUAUCCCUUUGCGAGAUCGAUAAUGCCAAUCACACUAGAAAUUUUCAAAAAGUCGCACAUUUUGCCUUGGUUCUCGUUCAGGCAAAUCGUCGAACACCUUGUCUGCACAACUUAUGAAAUUUAUUCCAGAGACAUAGGUAAAUCACAACUCAGUAAUUUCUUAUUCGCAUAUGAUUAAAGCUGUAGACUAUACGGGGGGAGGUGUGUUCCACAGUAAUGGUGUUCCUAACAAUUUUAUUUUAAGCCGCUUUGGGUUUAGAAGAAGCUUCCUCUGUAGCUGCACGAGCACGACGAGCUCGGACGUAAUCAAGAUGUUUCUCCCUUGGCGGCAGGCAUCCUAAAACGACGUCGUCAUCUCGAACCUUCUCCAUCCAUUUGAAAAUUACAGAGAAUUUCUCUUUGUUCAUCAGCUCUGGUUGUAUAAUUUCCUGCAUCACUUCAAUCCAGUGCAAGAUGAAGAACGCGGCAAUGUCCACAAACCCAAUCCUUUCCCCUCCGAAAUAUUCCUUCCCCUUCAGCUCCCCCUCCAGAAAUCUAAUAUGCCGGGCGAAUUCCUCAAUCACGUCCUCUUGUUCUAUCUCCUUCGCUGCGUAAGCCUUGAACGCAGUCGGCAAGACCUUGAAAAAAAGGAGCAUUCCAUUUCCCAGAGUCAGACCAGAGACAUGGAACGGUGAAGAGAUGUUAGAAAGUUUCUUACUUUUUCGUCAAUGAACUUAGCCCAGAAGCGAGCAAUGGCUCUGUCAUAAGGAUCUUUAGGCAGGAUUGGGUAGCUUGAUCCCCAGGUUUCGUCGAUGUACUCGAUGAUGACGAGGGAUUCCGCGAUCGGCUUGCCAUUGUGGAACAAAACAGGGACCUUCUUGUGAACUGGAUUGGACUUGAGGAGAAGAUCGCUCUUAUUGGCAAGGUUUUCUUCCACGAGUUCGAACUGUAAGCCUUUCAGUUUGAGGACUAAUUCAACCCUGCGGGUGAACCGACUAGCCCACACUCCAAGUAGCUUGAUUUCUCCUGCCAUUUUUGAAUCUGGGUAAAGUUGGUCAAACUUUGUUCUUUAUCGUUCUAUGGAGUGAUGGACUAUUUUGACAGAUAUAUAUUGGGAUUUGGCAAUUCGGAUGGAAUGUCAUGGCUGACGUAAAUUCGUCAGAAAGUCCGACAUUUUGACCGGAGUGUUGCGUCGUCACCGUCACUGUCAUCUCGUUGCUCAUUAGUCAUUACAUUUACACCAUCCCAAAUUGCUUCGAUCUCGUUCAGGCAAAUCGUCCAACACGUUCUCUGCACAAGCGGAUGAUCGAGAAACUUCGCGGUUUCAUUGUUUCGCAAAUCAUACACAAGUUUUAGCACAAGAUUAAGCUACAGUAGGAAGGCAUUACACUAGUGAUAGUGUCCUAACUUUUAAGCGGAUUUUGUUUUGGAAGCAGCAGCUUACAAUAGAAAAGCACGAGUAGCUCGGACGUAAUCAAGAUGCUUGUCCCUCGGCGGCAGGCAUCCCAUCACAACUUCAUCAUUUCGGAGCUUAUCCAUCCAUUCGAACAUUCCAGGGAACUUCUCUUUUGUCAACAGAUCUGCUUCCGCAACUUCCUCCAACGCUCCAAGCCAAUACAAGAUGAAGAACGCGGCAAUGUCCACAAACCCGAUCCUUUCCCCUCCGAAAUACUCCUUCCCCUUCAGCUCCCCCUCCAGAUUUUCCACUUGCUAGCAUGAAUUCCUCGAUCGAAUCUUCUUGUUCUUUGUCCCCCUUCCCUAUGUAAGCCUUGAAUGCCGUCAGCAACACCUGCAAAAAGCAUCCCAUUAGUUAGAAAUCUUCAGAUAAAUGAAUGAGACGGAUAGGAAGAGAGACGACACAAAUGAUUUUGAUUUCUUUCCUACUUUUUCGUCAACGAACUUAGCCCAGAAGCGAGCAAUGGCUCUGUCGUAGGGAUCUUUCGGCAGGACUGAGUAGCUUGAUCCCCAGGUUUCGUCAAUGUACUCGAUGAUGACGAGGGAUUCCGAGAUUGGCUUGCCGUUAUGGAAUAAGACAGGUAUCUUCUUGUGAACUGGGUUGGAGUUGAGGAGAAGAUCGCUCUUGUUCAAAAGGUCUUCUUCCACAUAGUCGAACUGUAAGCCUUUCAGUUUGAGGACCAAUUCGAUCCUGCCGCUGAACGGACUAGCCCACAUUCCAAGUAGCUUGAUUUGGUCCCCCAUUUUUCUUGGAUCUCAGUACUACUAAUGAGGCCAUUCGCAUUAAAUGCCUUGGCUGACUGAGUACUGCGCAAGUAAAUCUGCAUCUGUCAUGGCUGACGCAAAUUAUUUUGAUUUGGUUUGUGGAGAAAGUCUUGGAUAUUGACGAGUUAAAAGACUCGAGAUUGUUCCGACGUCGAGAAACUCCUUUCAUUUCACCGGAAAGACUGAUCUUGAUGUCGAGAGUUCGAGGCUCUCUCACCUCAACGAUUACUUUCUUACAAUUUGCUACAUUCUUAUUUCUCACCCAGUUUAAGGAACAUGGCAUCGGCCAUACCAAAUUAAUGAGCGUCAUAUUACAAACAAUUAUAAUCUAUUAUUAAUAUAGAGUUCAUCGAUUAACACAAUUUUAAUUCAUUUUCGAAUUACCUUCUUCUCAAAUUAGUCAUCACCAAGUAGCCAAGUAGGGAGUUUUUUUUUACCAAAAUAAAAAAUGGGGUUUCUUAUCUUAUUCCUUUCAGCAUGUACUAAUAUUUGGAUAAAAGUUGUUGGUUUUGUUGAUUUAAUGCGUAUAGGUUGUCGAUGGGCUAAUCGGAUCAAACGGAUCAAAUGUUCUCUUAUAUAUUUAGCGGGUUUAUUUUUAUUUUUUUUUAUUGAUUGCAACAAAAUUAUCCCUCUCGUUUGUUAAAAUAACAAUUGAGUCCGGAUUUGGGAUUCCAUCUAAACAGCUGUUAACUCGGUCGACAUGGCAGAGCUGAAUCGACAACAUCGGUCCACGUGGCACUUUAUACCACUUAGCUAGCGGGCUAAUUAUGGAAUUGUUAGAGUAUACGAAACGUCUACCAAAAUCCUUACAUUUUCUUCAAUUUUGGUGACGGAUUUGGGUAAUGGUUCAUUCGGUUUAAAUGGGGAACCACUAGCUAAGUGGUACAAAGUGCCAUGUUGACCAAUGUUGCUGACUCAUCUCUGCCACGUCGACCAAACUAACGUCCGUUUAGACGGGUGGCCAAAUUCGGACUUAAUUGUUAUUUCAACAAACGAGAGGAACAGUUUUGUUGCAAUCGAUACGAACGAGACUAAAAUGAACCCGCUAGAUAUAUAAGAGACAAUUUAGCCUGAUUAACCGUUGUUGACGAGCAGAGUUGAGCUUCAUCAAAUUUAAGUUGCGCUUGUAGUAUUUUUAACGACCUCCAACAUCAGAUUUAUGAAAAAAUCACAAAUAAAGCAUAAUCUAGCCGUAAAAUAUAUGAUUUGCCCGAUAAUAUCGACAGAACUUGACUCAAUUUUCAAAUGAACUUAACAGAAUAGGAUCAACUUUGACAUUAACCGUUAGAAUUCACGUAAAAUACGAUGGCAUGGAGAAAUGCUUUUCUGCCACGUAGGACUCCACGUCAGCAAAAAAAAACAUUUCUGCGGCUGUAGAAACUGGCCCAGGUUCCAAGUAGCUUGAUUUCCUCUGCCAUUUUCUCUUGAUUUUUCUCAUCCGUGGAGCAAAGAAGCCUAUACACGUGCAGGAGUCGAAGUUCAGUGCAUUGGAGCUAAAUGGGGAAACGUCAUGGCUGACAUCACAGAUCUUAUGGGACCUCUUAUCUAGAUAUUCUACCUUAUGCUGUGCGACAUCAAUAAUGCCAAUCACACUACAACUCUGAAACCGACCCGAAUUGCUUCGAUCUGGUUCAGGCAAAUCGUCGAGCACAUCGUGUGCACAAGUUAAGAAAUCCUAACAGAGAAAUCGGAAUCAAAACCACGCAACUCAGCAAUUUCUCAUUCGCAAAGCCAACAUAAUCUUUAUCACAAGAUUAAGCUACAAUAGGAAGGUAUUACACUGGCGAUGGUGGUGUCCUAACUUUUAAUUAAGCUGAUUUUGCUUUGGAAGCAGCAGCUUCCAAAAGGAAGGCACGAACAGAUCGGACGUAAUCAAGAUACUUAUCCCUCGGCGGCAGGCAUCCAAUCACAACGUCGUGGUCUUGGAGCUUCUCCAUCCAUUUAAACAAUACAGGGAACUUCUCUUUGGUCAACACAUCUGCUCCCGAAACUUCCUCCAACGCUCCAAGCCCGUUCAAGAUGUAGAACGCGGCAAUGUCCACAAAUCCGAUCCUUUCCCCUCCGAAAUAUUCCUUUCCCUUCAGCUCCCCCUCCAGAUACCUCACUUGCUGGGUGAAUUCCUCAAUCCCGUCCUCUUGUUCUUUGUCCCCCUUCCCUAUGAAUGCCUUGAACGACGUCUCCAACACCUGCAAAAAGCAUUAUUCCGUUAGUUAGAAAUCGCCAGAUAAUGAACGAGGAAGAGAGACGACACAAAUGAUUUGGAUUUUUCUUACUUUUUCGUCAACGAACUUGGCCCAGAAGCGAGCAACGGCUCUGUCGUAGGGAUCUUGAGGCAGGAUUGAGUAGCUUGAUGAUCCCCAAGUAUCGUCGAUGUACUCGAUGAUGACGAGGGAUUCCGAGAUUGGCUUGCCGUUGUGGAACAAGACAGGGACCUUGUUGUGAACUGGGUUGGAGUUGAGGAGGAGAUCGCUCUUGUUGGCAAGGUUUUCU